UACAGAGGUCCCAAGCGUUGUUCGGAUUCAUUGGGCGUAAAGGGUGCGUAGGCGGCGCGGUAAGUCGGGUGUGAAAUCUCGGAGCUUAACUCCGGAACUGCAUUGGAUACUGCCUUGCUUGAGUACUGGAGAGGGAACUGGAAUUUACGGUGUAGCAGUGAAAUGCGUAGAGAUCGUAAGGAAGGCCAGUGGCGAAGGCGAGUUCCUGGACAGUUACUGACGCUGAGGCACGAAGGCCAGGGGAGCAAACGGG
rnacentral:rRNA from 1 species